rnacentral:tRNA from 1 species
GCACGUAUAGUCUAGUGGUAGGACUGCAGCCUCCCACGCUGCUGACCCGGGUUCGAGUCCCGGUGCGUGCACCA